ACACUGACCCAGUUCUUGGGGGAGGUGUGGAGAAAGCCUGAGGACAGAGACACAGAACAACAGCAAGCACGGCUGCUUUCCACCUCCGCUGAUUUCUGAAGGCAUGCAGCACUCGCUGAGUGGACAAACCGACACGCUUGGUGCCUGCCAGAAACUGCAACUGACCCCAGGCACAUGGGCCUGGAGCUACCUAGCAACCUAGGUAAAGCUCCCUAAACACCAAGAGAGGCAGACUUUAUAGCUCUACUGUGUAUUGGAUUCCUACAUGCAAGAGAUUCUGCAGCAAAGACAGCAGAUGAAAACCCUAGCCUGCCUGAAGCUUACAUUAUGGUUAAGUAGGGAACUGGUUACAGGUGAUGGAAAUUCUGGGAAGCCACCCUGGAAAAGGGAAGCAAUCAAACAUUAACAAAAACAGGAAGCAGCUAACAGCCUUGGGCUAGACGGACAGCAGAGGAGGCAGCAGGAGGUGACAGUGCCAGAAAUUAGAAUCUGGAGCCAACUAGAACUACAACCAGAGUGAGGCUGUCUGGAGUGACAUGGGACCGUGAAAGGAGGGGAGCUGGGGCCAUGAAGAAGAUGCUGUCAGAGAUCCCCAGGUAGGGAGAAGGGUGGACAGAAAUACCCUGGCUUCUCCCUCCUCCCGCUCACCAGUCUCCAGUCAGACCCUUCCUGCCUGGAAGCCCAAGGACAAGGCACUGAGAGAAGCAGUUCCCUGCACACAGCACUGAGGGGGCGGGGGGGGACAAGGAAAGAGUCAGGAGCAAACCCAGAGGCACGAGAAGUGGCAUCUGUUCUGAGCCAAAGCCCCCAGAAUGACUGGAACUCAGGAUGUAUAAGGUGAGGUGGAUUCAGAAAAUUGUGAGUUUAGAGAAGUAAGGUAGACUGAGGCCAGAUCCCAUCAGCACAUUCUCUGCCAGGACCUACAUUAGAGCAAAAUAAUGCCAGAUUUACGCAAUGCUGGGCUUCCAAGGACUUUCUUCAGACAAUUCAGCAUAAACACCUCUGAACAUCUUUGGAGAAAAUCCAAAAAUCUGGCCUUCCAGAAACAUUUGCUGCUAGACUUCUUACCCCUAACGCGAUGAAGAGUGAAAUGAGAACAGUCAAGAUCCUCAUGGCUCUCCAGAGACUGUCCUCAGCCCGUGGCUAUGGGCACCGAGCUACCUGCCAGGUGCUGUGCUAGGUGCUGGACCGUAUGCUGACUAUGACACAGUCCCUACCCGCAGGAGCUCACGGUCUGGUCACGAAUAACCAGCCGUUUAAAUGAAAUGUAAUAAAGACAGUGACAGAGCCAUGGAGACCCAGCUCUGGGAACACAAGGAAAGAAACCCAGGAGGGCAGAGCUGAGCCUUAGAGCACAGGAGGCCUGAACCGCCUCUGCAAGGAUAAGCGGGAAUUGGUCAGAUAAGGAAGUGUGAAGGCAAGCAGGGAUCGCAUCCUUGGGGAAAACGUGUAGCAGGAGCCAAGUCCUGGAGGAGUGAAGGAGAACGGGGUACCCAGGGAAGGGCAGGAAGGUUGGUGCUGCAGCCACAAGGAGACAGAGAAGCGAAGAGGCUGGGAGAGGUAGGCACAGCCAACCUGGGGCUGUGCACUGAAGCUUGCCUUUUAUUCUGCAGGAUUGGGGCUCAAGAAAGGUCCAACCCCUCAAAUCUCCUCUACAAAAUAAGCUGUCACCACCAAACCGUGAGACAAUCCAUGAGCAAAGGCCCUGGAAGCCCCAUCCUCUCACAUUAAAAAUCAAGAAAUUCUAGCCUUGGGAGAAAAAUGUGGCCCAAGGUCACAAGCUAGGACGGAGCUAGGACUGGAGCCCCAAGCCCGCUCCCAGCACAGGCUCCUCCACUGCAUUUGGCUGCCUGCUCCAUUGUCAGCAAAUCCCUGAGUGGGUACGCCUGAAAACUGCCCUACCAAGAACAUUCUACUAAUCUCACGUCUCAGUAGCACAUGUUUCAGACGUUUCCACUGAAGCCUCAUAAAGAAAGUUUUUUCUUCGCUCUUACUAUUCUGAGAUUGGUUCCAGAGCCCAGAUCUACUCUAGGCCAACGAGUAUUCGUAUUGCUAUUAACUGGGAAUGCAAUGCAGCUGCAGUGUAACGAAGAUGAGCUCAAAGAGCAUCCCGGAGACAUCUCAGCAAGGAAAGAGGUGAGCAAGCACAGGGCAAACCUCCCUCUGGUUGAUGCAUUCAUCAGAGGAGUAUCUGGAAAAAUGCAGAGGAAGACCUUUAAGUAUUCGCAUAUCAAGGACCUAUCGCUACGUAUGAAUCCACUCACUCCACAAAUAACUAAGUGAUCGUCUAUUAUGUGCCAGGCAGUGAGCUAUGUUCCGUCAGAAGAUGGGACAGAGGGAAAACCAGGAUAAAUCACACUUGGUCCAUAGAUAUGAAGAGAAAUUCACGGAGACAUAACCCAUCUUGGAAAAAACUAAACAGGCUACAGUGACUGGCAUCGAACCUGCACAAAUGAGUUUAUUUGGAGUACAAGAGGUGCAAAAGGUGCAGGCACAGAGAAAACAGGUGAACAGUGAUGGGGAGGCUAUGGAAUCACACCUGGAGGAGCCAGAGACCCGAGCCCUCCCGGACAGGUGCUCUCGGAAGAGAAGGGGCCUUGGGAGCCUUCUGAUUUCCUGUCAAUGCCCCUCAUUGGAUGAAGCCCACUGGAGGCCAGAGGGCAAGGGCACCAGCUUGAUGCCUUGUGGACAGAGGCUCAGAGUGCAGCAGAGAAAGGGGGACAUGACCUGGCUAAAGUACAGUCUGUGAACUUCGGGGCCCUCGUUUACAGUUAAAAAUUCCUUCCAGCAGCUUCAGAUCCUUGACGAAUGGGAGUUUUAAAAAUUAUAAAUGUUUAACCUACAAUGCUGAAUAACAUCACGAAGGUGACAAGGUAGAAAAAAUAUUAAUCAAAAUUCCUCUGAGGGAGAGUUUUGUUCUUCUGUUUAUGUUGUUGUUGUGUUUCUAAGGACUGUCCUGAGGAGUCAGACCUAGUUGUCAGCUGCCUGACAAGAAUCCAGAGGGAGGAGGGAAGGGCAGUGCGUGAGUGAGGGAGAAACAAGGCUUUGGAGCUCAGGCGGAGGUGGAAGGCUGUUAGCAAUCUGGUGUCGAGGGUGUUGCGAGGAGACACAGGAGGAGAGAGAAGAGAGCACGCUCCUAGAGAGGGGCCAGGCGGCUCUUCCUUAAACCCCUAGGUCUUUCUCAGUCCCACCAGGACUUAUUCGUUCUCGGCUCAAGCGGAUUUCUGGGGAAACCUGUACAGGCCACGCUUCAUUCACAAGGUGUGUCAUUCUGCUAGAAUCUUACGAGACUCAGAAGAUACCUGGGUUACAAAAUUAAACAUCAAAUCCCUCCCACAUUCCAGAGACUCUUGGAGGGAGCACAGAAGUACUUCCACAGCUGGCUGGUAAGUGCCGCUCAUGCAGCGGUGCACAGAAAGCAUCAUAUGCAUUCUUUCUGGCUUCUGGAAGGAAGACUAUCACAUACUAGCAAGAAAUAAUUCUAUAAAUGUGUAGAGUUUUCCUAACAUAGGUAAAUAGAGAGAGAGAGAAAUUUUCAAAGAAAAACUAUCAACUGGUGUUACUGGGGAGGAAGCGGGUUGUUGGGAGGACAGCUACUAACGCCCCACAGGGCACGGUCCUCCUGCGUCAUCCCAAGGGUCCAGCUUCCCAACAGGAAAUAUUCUAGGCAUGGAGCAAAAGAGUUCUAAUAAAAGAAUUAAAGGAAUGAUGAAAAUGGAGAAAAACAGAACAUUGUGUUUCCUGGGUGUUGGAGAAAUCUACUGCAAAAAGGCAGCUGUGAUUCUGGACUGCUGUUCUCACAGACCACAGCUGUGGGGCUUGAAAAGCAAAGCCUACAACAGUGAGUAGAGAAUGAUCAGAUAAUAUCGACACUUAAAAUGAUCAAAGUGUGAGGUCAGCUGGGACUUGUCCAGACAAUAUGGUCAGAAACUCAGAACCAUUAAGGACUUCUUUUUGCCUUUGAAUUUAUAGUGUCAUCUAUAUGCUUAUUAAGUAAUUCUAUUCUCUUUAAAGCAAGAUAAACACAAAGUAGCAUUCUUUUGUUGCUCACGGGAAAUCCUAUUCAUCCAUUUAUUCACUCAGAAAUCUACAUCGAGCACCUAAGCACUUCCAAACUGGAAGUGCAAGUGAGAAUCGCGGGGUUGACUGCUUCCCACAGCAAGGCGCCUCCGACUCCGGGCUCACAGGAAGGUGCUCUCCAGAUGCUGUGGAAAAUGCAAGGCCUUGUAGCUUUACCUGCUUAAAAGCAAGGAAACCAAAACUAUAUUAAAUUAGCAAAUUGAUAUUUAUCUGAAAUACUUUACUUUUAAAUUUACCUGCCGUGUGAUGUUUAGAAACAAACCAGGUGUAUGGAAUAUGUGCCAAAUAACAAAUUGACUUUGAAUCUACAGAGCCUCACAAAUUAGCUUCACUUCUCUUUCAAUGUUCAUAAAACUUUUCCUCUUUUAUAAUAAAAUUCCUUUUGCCUGUUUUUAAUUUUCUAGAAAUCAGAGCUCUACUAAUGUUGCUCAAAUCCAUGAUAAUUUGCUCCAGCAAUUAUUGUAACAGGCACAUGCCUUGUUCUGAUUUUCAGCGAAGUAUCUCCCUUACACUAGGUACCCAAAGGUAAACAAGUUGGUUACUCAGAACUUCUGUUUUGUUUAAUGGGUAAUACUAUCCUAAGCUUGAAUACACUAUUUCAUCUUUGAUGCUCCAAGGUGUGUACCAGCCUAGCACCGUACAUGAUGUCUGCUCUUCAGAAGAUCCAGUUUGCAAGGUUUUUUGUGCCUUAGUUAAAUAGACCCUCCGUACUCUGAGUGUAUUUACCUGAUGGUUACAGAAAGCACCGGAGAACGCCCCACACUCUCUCUGAAGGGAGUUAUCGUAUGAUUGUAGUUAUUUCCAAUUUGAAAGUUGAAGAUUAUAAAUAUAGAGAGAUGACAACUCUCUUCUUUCUUAAUCAAUACAUGUGUUAUUGCUCUGAAAACCAAAUGUCUUGAGCUUUACUUUUCAGGACACAGCUUCAAUGAGAAUUGGAAAGGAUAUAUAUCCCCUCUCACGGCAUUACCAGUGUUUGAGGAGUAGAAACUUUAUGGUCUCCGGUUGAUGUGCUGGAUGACAUUAUAGAGCCAGUGUUGGUUUCUUCAUGAACUCUACCAGCGGGCCAAUAUGUGGGAUUGCAGGGUUCUGGAGACAGAUAUUUACUUAUCUGUUUAUCUUUAGUGAGGUCCCUUCAGACAGCACAGAAGUGACAGAAAGAGUUUCUAAUGCGAGCAGUCUUCCUGUGCCUCUCCCGGGACUCCAGACCUAGGAGGCAGAGCUGGGUCAGGAUCUUUGAGAAGCACGCACAGAGAGGAAAUCUACUUGUGGACACAGCAACCCAGAUGUCUUAGGCGACGAGAUCUCCCAUACCAUCUGUUCACUGAUUCAGCCACACCUUCAUUCACUCACAUUUAUGAAGCAUCUGUCCAGUCUUCCGUCCUCCUCACAGAGGCCAUGCUUCCCUCUGCUCAGGCUCCCAGGCCCCCAGAAUCAGCCUGCCCUUACUGCAGGUGCUACAAUCUGUACAAGGAGGCUGGAUUUCCCAGGCAGGCUGUUGAUCUUUGGAUCUAGAAGUGACCUAAGAGAACACCCAUCCUAACCUCUCCCACUAAGGCUGACAGAGACUAAAAAUUGCCAAAUUCUUGCUUGUUCUGCCUCAGAACAAGGCAACGAGACACUGGGCCCACCAGCCACACCACACAGCUUCCUCUGAGACAUCCACCUUCAGAAACUAGGAGAUCUCCAGCUUCGCCCCCCAGGGUCCUCAAGUCAAUUGUAUCUCAAUCUCUGUGUUGUUUCCUGACCCUGUUUGUUUCAAGGAGGAGGCAAAGACUUGGAAGGGGCUUUCCUGAGAUGUCCCCUAGGACAGCUUCCCCAAACCUGGCUGAUCGUCAAAAUUACUGGGGAAAAUUUGGAAAUCAGAUUCCUGGUACAACUCCGCCCCUGGAGCCAUCAUGCUGGGUGACAGAGGCCUCGAGCCGGGGACAAGGGCCUCAGUUCCCCUCCAGCUUAUGGCUAAGAGAACCAGGGUGCUCAGACAGUGGUAUUUCAGCCUGGGACGUUCUGUCCUUAGCCAGAGGUAGUCUUGGUUGGAAUUCCAAUGAGUCUGAAUUUCCAAAAAUUCUAGCAUGAUGGCUCUAAAUGCAUAAGCAUUCCUUUCUGGUACUUGGAUGAAUAAAAGUAAGUCAUAUUAAACAGUCUACAAUAAAGGCAAACUUUUAGCCUGAAGAGAGAAUGCAUGUGGCCUCUGCCUGAACUUUAUCAAGUCAUCUUUCUAAUUAAUAAUCUUAAUUGAGUUACAAGUCUAAUCCUAUGCAGGUCCAGCUAAUUCUUUCUUCAGUAGCUGAUAAUGAAUAAUCUGGUGUGUCUGCCAACUUUAACUAAGUGGUUGGUGCCUGAACAAAGUCUAAACACUGGACCCCUGGAAAGACAGAAUUCUGGGAAUUAAAUGUUACUGGGAAAGGGCCUGGCCGAGGAGAGGUGGCAGCAGCUGGGGAAGCUGUUUUUGAUUGCCUAGAACUUCAGCUCUGGUUGGAUGAAUUGAUUCAUACUUUUCUAUCUGAAUAAUUUAUAUGGCCCUUUUUUUCUCAGACCCUGUAAACUGAAGUGAUCACAUUAACCUUUUCAACACUAGAAAUAGAAACACUGACUAGCUCCAUAUAUAGGAGGGGAAAAUGAAGCAAAAAGAAGUAAAUAAUAAUCCCGAGGAAUGAGGCAUGCAGAAAGUGAGUAAUUAUCCUGAAGGUAAAGAAGGGUUUGUCCUCUGAUUUCGAAAAAGAUUCCUCCUUUAAAGUGCCCAAUGAUGCUGGUAGGGACAGAGGAAUGCCACGUGGAGGACGUGGAAGAUAAGAAUAAGAAUAUAACUAGAACAGUGGCACGUUUGAGGCAAUAAAUGUGGAGUCUGGAGACUAAUAUAGAUGCCAAAUACAUGUUUUUUUAAACAACUGGAAACAACCCCAAUGUCCUUCAAUGGGUGUAUGAUUAACCAAACUGUGGAACAGCCAUACUGUGGAAUAUUACUCAACAAUAAAAAGGAACAGAGUAUCGAUACAAACAACAGUUUGGCUGGAUCUCAAGGGAAAUAUGUAGAGUAGAAAAAAAUCUCAGAAGGUUACAUACUGUAUGAUUCCAUUUAUAUAACAUCUUGAAAUAACAAAAUUAUAGAGCUGGAGGACAGGUUAGUGGUUGCCGGGAGUUAGGGAGAAGGGUGGGGUGGAAGUCAGCUGUGGCUCGAAAGGGCAGCACAGAGGAUCCUCAUGACAGGACUGCUCUCCGCUCUUCCCCUGACUGCAGUGGUGGUCACAGGCAUCUGCACACACGAUGGAACUAAAUGCACUCACACAAGGGUGCAGGUAAAAACGGUGAAAGCUGAGUGAGAUCUGUGGGCGGUACCAGUGUCAGCUUCCUGGUUGUGACAUUGUGCUGUAGUUUUGCAAAGUGUUGCCACUUGGGGAAACUGGGUGAAGGGUGCAAGGGAUCUACCUGCAUUAUUUCUUACAACAGUAUGUGAAUUUACAAUUAUCUCAAAAUAAAAAGUUUUUUUAAAAACACUGAAUAUAUUUAAGGAGAACAUGUUAAAGGUGAGUGGGAAAGUCUAUGAAAGAAAGGUAGAGGCUGUAUCAAUGUCAAGGCUAUCUGAACUACUUUUGAUCCCCCAGCCCUCACCUUCAAUACGUCAGAAAUCUUGCUAGCAAGCAGACGCGUGGAAACACCAACUCUCACACACAGACUGCGCUCCAAAGCAGGAGGGGAAGGUUGUGUUUGAAAACGUAGGUUUUAUUACCAUUCAGAUAUGGUGAGGCCGACUGAUCAAGAGAUGAUAGCUGUUGGAAAGAUAGUUUAUUCCUCACAGUUCCAGAGAAGAGGGGCACCCCGGACCAGGCAGGGCCACACGGGAAAGCACCAGGAUCUGUCAGGAGGCAGAGGGAGUGAGGGGAAAACGUGGGUGGGAGGUUUGUUGUGGUUUCCUCGGGAAGGACGGGAGAGGCACAGUGAGCAGAUUUAGGAUCAGCUAGUGUGAAUAAUUUCAAUGGGCUCCAGGGCACGGGGGCUGCCCCUAGUUGUGUGGUACUGGCCCUGAGCAAUUGAGGCAGGUAAAGAGUGGCCUGAUUGUCAGAGUCUGAUGAAGGAAGGGGUCAGGGUGCGGGGUAGGCUCUGUAUGGGUUGGCUGACAUGUGAAAGGCACACUCCCUAGAGAGAUGUUUACAAUCUGUAAGGAUUAGCUAACCGUGGGAGGGACCAUCCUCCCAGGUCAGCAAGGCCCCAGGUGUCAAAGCAUCAGAAUAAAAAGACAGGCAAAUACAGAGCAUUGUUGACCAUCACUUAGGAAAAACAGACCUCCUCUCAUAGCUGGCUUUCACACAGUCAUCAGGCAGGAGACGAUGUUUCAGCAAGACUUCCUGAGGUAUCCAGAUCAUUUCUUCUUCAACACUACAGAACUUAGAGCUUGUAACUCAUGAUUUUUUUUCAGCACUAAGAUCAUAUCCAGAUAUUUAAAUUUGUGCAAGUGUAUUAUCUGCCUGAGCAGCUACUCAGUUGCAUGGGCUAGAGCUCUCUCUCUUACUUCCGUUAUCUGUAGUGCUUAGAUCGUGAUAACCCCACAAUCAUGACUCAGUAACUAAUGGUAGGAUUACUGAUGACCUACCAUCCUUAGGAUAGAUUCUGUGAAGUACUUUUCCUUUCCGCAGAAGUAGCAAUAACUGUUCUCCAUCUACACAAGUACAACCAGUUAUUGAUUAUCCUUGGCAACCGGGAACAGGAUAGUAACUAGAGGGAGAUUUACAUUCAGAGAGGAAUGGCCCAAAGGUGAGGAGACAAGAGAAAUUGAGGAGGAGAACGUUCUUCCCAUUGUCCAUGCAAAUUGUUGGUGAAACGAUAGCAUUGUCCCAUUUGCACACCAAAGUGUUUUUGUUGUGUUUUCCCUUCCCCAAAAUAUCCCCAAGACAGUAGGGGCAGAUUGUUUGGGACUCUGCUGGACACUCACCUCCACAGGUGUCCGCCAUAAGGCCAUGUCAGUGAAGGGGGAGGCAGAGGGUGAACCGUGUCACUAAGCCUAUGUGUCCUCAGGCCACACACACACACACACACAACCACUUGCAGUGUUUAGUUGUCCCAAAUAUUGUCUCAAAUCUUCACUUUUCCUGAGUGGAUUUAUUUUUAGAAGAGAAUACUCAUUUACCGGGGCUUAAACAAUGCGUGUACAAAGAAAGAAUCCCAACCCUUCACUGGAUUACCUUCCCUCAACAGCAAAAUAUGCUUGCGGACAUUUAUGCAGUUCUAAGCGACAAGCUAGCACAGUCUCAACAGACUAAGACACAGUUAUUUUUACUCUCUCUUAGCGGGGCCCAAGAAGACUCUGAAACCCUUGGUUCAGUUUUCCCUCUGGCAACGGUGGCAGGUAAACGCCCCUCCCUGGCCUCGUGCUUCCACAUGGAGAGUCCCCAGUGCAGCACUGGGCUGGACAGUGGAUCUACGUGGAGAGCUUUUAAAAAUCCUAAGACCUGGUU